UUUUCAGCUUAAUAUCUGAAAGUUCCCCCACUGGGGGACCAGUAUAUUAAACUGAUUUUUGUAAACCGACGGGAUGUUCGGGGCUCGCUCCACUCCCGUCACGG
rnacentral:snRNA from 1 species